GGGUUGUGAGGUUAAGCGACUAAGCGUACACGGUGGAUGCCCUGGCAGUCAGAGGCGAUGAAGGACGUGCUAAUCUGCGAUAAGCGUCGGUAAGGUGAUAUGAACCG
rnacentral:rRNA from 5 species